rnacentral:rRNA from 1 species
UACGUAGGGUGCAAGCGUUGUCCGGAAUUAUUGGGCGUAAAGGGCGCGUAGGCGGCCUGAUAAGUAGGGGGUGAAAUCCUGCGGCUUAACCGCAGGGCUGCCUUCUAAACUGUCAGGCUCGAGCACAGUAGAGGCAGGUGGAAUUCCCGGUGUAGCGGUGGAAUGCGUAGAGAUCGGGAAGAACAUCAGUGGCGAAGGCGGCCUGCUGGGCUGUUGCUGACGCUGAGGCGCGACAGCGUGGGGAGCAAACAGG